UUUUUAUGUUCAGAAAUCAGAAAUCAAUAGUAAAUGAUAUAUUUUAUUUAUAAUAUAAAAGUGUACUAAGGUUGUCCAGAAAAAGGCAUCUAUUACUGCGAUGAAACGCCAUUAUUGACUAGAGGAAAAACAUCUUAUAAUACUCUAUUUAAGGUUUGUCCAAUCUCUUACUGUCACUUUUCAUUCUCAUGUCUGCCAUGAUUUCUGAUUAGUCAAUUGGUGUAUAUACAUGAUAGUGUAUAGAAAUUAAAUUCUUAAUAUACAAGUAAAUAGCACAUAUACUAAAUAAAAAUGUUUAUACUGUCAUCUUAAAAAUGUCUGCUAUUAUUUCUUAUUGAUUUUUUACAGGUUACAGUGUUACACAUUUUACUAUAGAAAAUAAAAUUUCUUGACAUUAAUUAUAGUUUACCUUACCUCCACACAAGAUUUGGAAUGAAAUCAGCGAGAUGCUCAUAAUCAGUGAGAGCGUUCCAAACGGAUUCAAUGUCAGCAUUGACAGAAAUUUCGGCCUUAACUCUCCUUUC
rnacentral:lncRNA from 1 species